rnacentral:rRNA from 1 species
UACGUAGGGGGCAAGCGUUGUCCGGAAUCAUUGGGCGUAAAGCGCGCGUAGGCGGCCCGGGAAGUCCGCUGUGAAAGUCCAGGGCUCAACCCUGGAAAGCCGGUGGAUACUGUCGGGCUAGAGUCCGGAAGAGGCGAGUGGAAUUCCUGGUGUAGCGGUGGAAUGCGCAGAUAUCAGGAGGAACACCGAUGGCGAAGGCAGCUCGCUGGGACGGUACUGACGCUGAGGCGUGAAAGCGUGGGGAGCGAACAGG